GAUGAACGCUGGCGGCGUGCCUAAUACAUGCAAGUCGAGCGAACAGAUGGGGAGCUUGCUCCUCUGACGUUAGCGGCGGACGGGUGAGUAACACGUGGAUAACCUACCUAUAAGACUGGGAUAACUUCGGGAAACCGGAGCUAAUACCGGAUAAUAUAUUGAACCGCAUGGUUCAAUAGUGAAAGACGGUUUUGCUGUCACUUAUAGAUGGAUCCGCGCCGCAUUAGCUAGUUGGUAAGGUAACGGCUUACCAAGGCAACGAUGCGUAGCCGACCUGAGAGGGUGAUCGGCCACACUGGAACUGAGACACGGUCCAGACUCCUACGGGAGGCAGCAGUAGGGAAUCUUCCGCAAUGGGCGAAAGCCUGACGGAGCAACGCCGCGUGAGUGAUGAAGGUCUUCGGAUCGUAAAACUCUGUUAUUAGGGAAGAGCAAAUGUGUAAGUAACUAUGCACGUCUUGACGGUACCUAAUCAGAAAGCCACGGCUAACUACGUG
rnacentral:rRNA from 1 species